UAAUUGUAAGAAUAUACUAUGUUUAUGUGUAUCUUAUGUUACUGUUUUGAUUUGUUUUAUCAUAAUAUCAUUGAUGCGAUGUUUAAACUUUAAAGGAAUGUAAUUCAAGAGGUUGGAGUUAAAGCUAAAGAAAAUGGAAUGAGAUGGAAAAUCAGUAGAUGACAAGUCAUCUUAAUUGGAUUUUAGUAUUCAUCAAAAAAUAAGUACCAGUCACAAGUAAAAUCUCUUUAUACUCGUCAGGGAAAGACCUAUCUGAAAUUUGAACUUCAUAUAUUGGUUGGAGCCCACCAAUAAAGGAAGUUACUCUCCAAAAAUAGGCGUAUGCCACUGUGUAUGGCAAGCACACGGUAUUCUUUAGUAAAAGGCGAAAGAAUAGUUCGCUUUGUGCUUACCACAUGGCUGCGUGCCUUCUAACUUCCCAGCUGCUUGCUUUAAGUAACGACUCUCACCCAUUCUGUUUCAUUCCAGCAGCCGAUGUGGGAUGACUCUUCCUCCCCUCGUCCACUUUCCUCUUUUUUUUUCCCCUCUCUCACUUUGAUUUGGUUCUUGAUCUGUUUUCGAGGAAGUGUGAGUACGUGUUUUGAAAGAAAUUAUUUGAUAUUGGAUAAAUUAGAAUAAGAUAUUUGUGAACGAUACGUUUGACUGACCAAACAACAUUAAAAAAUGAUAGACUUAUGAAAUUAGAGUUUCAUAUUAUAUUAAAUGAAGGGGGUAAACAAGUAAUUUUCUAUUACUUUUUGAUAAAGGUAGUGUAAAUUUUAUGGAGUGUAUGGUCGUAAAUGUUUUCCAAAAUAAUAAAAUUUGUAAGAUUAUUUGUUCUUUUGUUUGCCGGAGUGGUAAAGUCAAAACAUUUAUGUAAACAUUAACUUUGAAGAGUGUUAGCAGCAUAUAGCAUAGCUUUUUUGGAAACUUCUCUUUAGGGUCAGUUUUAUUAAAACUCUUGCUGAAUGUGAUUUUAAGAUAUUGAGAUCAAACAUAAGAACAACAUUGUUGAUUGGUUCAUGAUCAAUCGCUAUAGUUGCCAAAAUGAGAGGAUUGGGUAAAGUAAAAACAUGUUGAGUCUAGUUUUAUAUAGAUCGAUUUCUUGCAUCCUUACGAGGUCAAAGAUAUAACAUGAAGUACUCAUCUUUGGAGGAAUGUCAUAUGGUGUUUUGAAGUUCCAAAAAAGAGGAUGAUAAAUACUUAUAAAUCCAUCCUUUUAUCCCCUUAAAAAUGCAACAUCGGAUCAUACUUGCAUUCUCUUCUUCUCUUCUUUUUCCCCUUCUUUUACUUCGGUUCUGUUUUUAGGAAGUGAGUUUUGAAAGUAAGUACUAGAUAUUGUAUAACUGGAAUAAUAUAUUUAGCGACGGAUAAAUUCUCAUUGUUCAGAAAUAACAUUUGUGAAAGAAAAAUCAAGUCUUAUGAAGUUAGGGUUUCAUUUUAUAAAAAUAAAUAUGUAAAUAAGUGUAGUAAGUCUAGUUUACAUUUUGAUACGGGUAUCUGAAACACAGUGGUGUUUGCUUAAUCUCUUUGAGGGAUAGUUAUUUUUGAGAGAUAGUUUUCUUAAAAAUGUUGUACGAAUAUGAAUAUAUUAAGAUUAAAGCUAAGAAACGAUGUCAUUGGUUCGUUUAUAAUCUAUAGCUAUAGGUAUCAAAACGGACAAGUAGGAUAAUGAAUCAUUUGUGUUUUAUGUUAUCAAUGUUUUAUUUUUCUGUCACGAAUGCUUUCAAGUUACAUCAUUGACUACAUGAUAUUGACAAUGGUGAAACCAGAGAAAAGUUUAAGAGGGAAAAUUGAUUCUUCAUUAUUGAAUAGUUACUUACAAAUGAAGCUAAAUUGAAACUAUAUACAAGAGAAACAACUGAUUAACCCUCUAACAAACUUCUAACUAACAUCACGUGAGAAUCACAUGAUUUUAUUAAACAGAAUUAACUAACAAUUAACUAUUAAUUCUAACACCCCCCUCAAGUUGGAGGGUGAAUAACGCCCAACUUGUUCAAAAGAAAUUUAUGUUGCUUUGUAGGUAGAUUUUUAGUAAAAAAAUCUGCAAGUUGAGAAUGUGUUGGAACAUGUUGUAACGAAAUCAAGCCAUCUUGUAGUUUGUCUCUGACAAAGUGACAAUCAAUCUCCACGUGUUUAGUUCUUUCGUGGAAGACAGGGUUUUUAGCUAUGUGGAUGGCUGCUUGGCUGUCACAAUGAACAGGUACAGGUGUCAAAUUCGGAACUGUUAUUUCAUGAAGAAGGCGAGUGAGCCAUGCAAGUUCAGCAGUAACUCGACGCAUGCUUCUAUAUUCUGCCUCUGCUGAUGACAAUGAAACAGUCACCUGUUUCUUAGAUAUCCAGGCAAUUGGACAAUUACCCAUUAAGAUAAUAAAUCCACUCACACUUCUUCUGGUUUGGGGACAUGAAGCCCAAUCUGAAUCGCACUAAGCAUUGAGGGUAAAAUCGUCUCCAUUAUUCAUUAGUAACCCUUGAUUUGGAUCAUUGUUAAGAUACUUUAGAACAUGUAAAGCUGCUUGAUAGUGAGGCAUUCUGGGAUCAGACAUGAAUUGACUGAGAAGUUGAACUGCAAAUGCAAGGUCUGGUCUUGUAUGUACUAGAAAGUUUAAUUUUCCCACUAAUCUUCUAUAGACUUCUGGAGAAUCCAUAUGAUCACCUUGACCUUGCAAAAGCUUCAAAUGUGUAGGUAAUGGACAAGAAGCAUGACUAGUGCAAUCAAAUUCUUUUAGCAGUUCUGUGGCAAACUUUCUUUGAGUGAGAAUGACACCUGAUGAAUUAUACAAAACUUCAAUUCCUAAAAAAAAUUCAAGGAUCCAAGAUCUUUAAUUUUGAAAGUAUUAUCAAGAAAUGUCUUCAAUUUUGUGAUUUCUUCUUCAUUAUUUCCAGUAACCAUUAUGUCAUCUACAUAGACUGCUACAAAUGUUACAUAGGAUCCCAUAUUCUUGUGAAAAAGAGAAUAAUCAUUCUUUGAAUUUUGAUAUCCCAUUUCUUUUAACGCUGAAGAAAGUUUAGCAUACCAUUGCCUUGAAGCUUGUUUGAGCCCAUAAAGUGAUUUCUGUAGUUUACAUACUUGAUUUGGUUUGCAGCCCUUCAAACCAGGUGGUGGCUUCAUGUAUAUUUCUUCAUGCAAGUCACCAUGCAAAAAAGCAUUAUUAACAUCUAAUUGAUGCAUAUGCCAUCCUUUCUUGACCGCAGUUGCAAUAAGAGCUCUAAUAGUUGUCAUUUUGACAACAGGUGAGAAGGUUUCAGUGUAAUCUAUGCCAUCUUUUUGAGUGAAACCUUUGACAACCAGCCUCCCUUUACAUCUUUCAACAUCGCCAUUUGCCUUAUAUUUGAUCUUGUAUACCCACUUACAACUUAUGGGCUUUUUACCCUUUGGAAGAUCAACAAUAGCCCAAGUAUUAUUUGCUUCUAGUGCCUCAAAUUCUUUAUUCAUGGCUUCUUGCCAUUUUGGAAUUAAAACUGCUUCUUCAAAACUAGAAGGCUCAGAAAGACACGUUAUAUUAUUGAGUAAUUGUUUGCUUUGGGGUGAUAAAGUUGAGAAACAAACAUGAACCGGUGAAGAAGCAUUGGUAACAUUGUGGGUGCAUGUAAAUAAGGAAUAACAAGAUGCGAGAUUGUGACAUGUGGCAUUGGAGCAAAUGUAGUCUUUUAAAUGAGAAGGAGGUCUUGAAAUUCUGGUUGUAUGUCUGAUAGGUGCUUGUUGAGGAAUUAAAUUAGGUUGAACUUAUAUCAAAGGAGGUGUAGUAUUAUCUUGUGAAAUACCAGAGGUAGGUAAUAAUGAAAUUGGGUCAACAUUAGAAUCUGUAUAGUACAAAUCUGUAGAUGGGAAUAAAGGAUCAUUGGGGGCUGAUUUGUAAGGGAAAAUGCUUUCAUGAAAAAUAAUAUCUCUGGAAACAAUUAUUUGUUUGGUGUCCAUAUUGUAAACUUUGUACCCUUUUUGCCCAAAAGGGUAUCCAACAAAUAUGUAGGGAGCUGCCCUUGGUUGGAAUUUGUCUCGUUUAUGUUGUAAUGUACUCACAUAACACAAGCAUCCAAAAGAUUUGAGAUUUGAAUACGAAGGUUGAUGACCAUACAACAUAAAGUAUGGAGUUUUUCCUUUUAGAACUUGAGAAGGAAAUCUGUUGAUAAAAUAAGUUGUAGUGAGGACACAAUCACCCCAAAAUUUUAGAGGCAACUUUGAUUGAUACAGUAAAGCUCUAGAAGUUUCCAGAAGGUGUUUAUGUUUCCUCUCAACUACCCCAUUUUGUUGAGGGGUAUAUGCACAGCUUGUUUGGUGAAUGAUCCCAUUUGCUUGAAAAAAUUUGAUUGCCUCAUUGCUAGAACCCAACUCUAGAGCAUUAUCAGAUCUUAUAAUUCUCACUGGUUUCCCAAAUUGGGUUUUUACCAUUUCAAUAAAACCUUUGAGAACAUUGAAAGAAUUUCCUUUGGUACUUAGCAAAUGAGUCCAUGUACUUCGACUAAAAUCAUCAACAAUUGUCAAGAAAUAAGAUUUGCCAUUAUAAGUUCUUGUAUUGUAUGGUCCCCAUGUAUCAAUAUGAAUUAGAUCAAAAGAAGAACUUGUCUUAAUAACACUAUGACCAAAUGGGAGUUUGUGUUGUCUUGCUUUUGAACAAAUUUCACAAGCAUGAUUGAAUGUGGCAUUUUUAUUACUAAGAAAAGAAAGAGUUUUCAACUUGUACAUAGGAAGAUGGCCAAGUCUAUUAUGCCACAAAGAAAACAAAUUGUCAUCAGACAUACAAACAGAAUUUGAAAAAAUGACAGCAGGAUCUGAAGGAGCAUGUGAAGUCACAGAAAGAGCAAUUCCAUUGUUGUUGUUUUGAUUGGAAUGCAGAAAGUAUAAACCUGCUUGGUGUCUACCAAGAACCAGAGGCCUCUUAUGAGAAAGGCCCUGCAUCAAGAAGCAAAAUUUGUCUGAAAAAAUGACAAGAGACCUUAACUGAUGACAUAAUUUGCUAAUGGAUAACAAAUUAAAUUUGAAGUGAGGAACAUACAGAACAUUAUGGAGUACAACAUCAUCAGCCAAAUAAGUACUACCAAUCUCAUAAGCACUUAUUUGUUGUCCAUUUGGUAAGGUGAUGUGAUAUGGGAUUUUAAGAGUUUGAAUUUGGAAUAAGAGUGAUUUGUUGUGACACAUAUGGUCACUGGCUCCAGAAUCAAUGAUCCAAGUAGUCGCAGCAGUAACCAAACAAUGACAACUUAUGGAAUUAUGUUUAGACAAGAAAACAUUACCAGCGAAGUUUGCAUUAGAAUGACCUGAAGAUGGUUGGUUCUGUGAGUUUUGAGAAUUUUGAGCCUGUGUACUUCCAUUUCCAUCUUGUUUUGUGUUAAAAUUGUUAAACAUCGAAAAGAACUAAUGAUAUUGUUGAAUUUGUUCAUUUGAAAGUUGUGGUAGUGAUUGAAUGUUUGUAGAAUGAACAUGAUUGGCUUGUUGAGUUGUCCCUUCACCAUUUGUUGAUUGAAAACUAGAGGCAUUUGCAGCAACAAUUCUUGUCCCCUUUGUAAACUUGAAAUCUUUAGGAAAGCCAAUUAACCUGUAGCAUUUGUUGGCAGAAUGGCCAGGUUUCUUGCAAAAAUUACAAGUGAUGUUCUUCUUUGCUUCAUAAUCGCCCUUGAAUUGAUUGAUUUCUUGAUUAUUCCGAAAAUGCCCUCCACUAGACUUAACAUUCAUGGAGGCUAAAUCAGACAUAAACUGAAAAGUAGAAGAAUGGACUUCUCUUUGUUUCUCGUCUUGAAUCAAAAGAGCAUAUGCUUGAGUGACAGAUGGGAGAGGUUUCAUUAAGAGAAUACUUCCUCUUACAUGACUAUAAUCACUGUUAAGUCCCAUAAGAAACUUCAUCAACCUUUGAUUAUGUUGUUCUUCCUGAAUUUUGUGUGCUGCUCCAUAAGUACACUCAGGAAUAACAGAUAGAGCAUUUAGUUCAUCCCAUUGUUUCUUUAACUUGGUGAAAUAAGUACCUAGGUCAUCAGAUCCUUGAUUCAAAUCAGAAAUCUCCUUUUGGAGAUGAUAUAACUUUGCUCCAUUUGAUUGUCCAAAUCUGUCAUCUAAAUCAUCCCAAAUUCCUUUGGCAGAAGAUGAAUAGAGAACAGAUUCGGCAAUAUCAUUUGAUAAGACAUUAAGUAUCCAAGAAGUUACCAUAUCAUUGCAUCUUUGCCAAUUAUCGAAAGAAUUGUGAUUUGAAGCUGGCUUGAGAACUUUACCAUUGACGAAGCCGAUCUUGUUCUUAGCUGAUAAUGCAAUCAUCAUGCCUUUCUUCCAUGAAUUGAAAUUCGAUCCAUCAAAUUUGUUAGAAACAAGUAGCAUACCGGGAUGAUCUGAUGGAUGUAGAUACAUUGGAUCAGAUGUAUUAGGAAAUUGAGUUGAAUUUUGAGGAGUAACUGGAUUAGAUGAAGAAGACAUCGCUAUGAUGAUGAAACUGAAAUUACAGGGAAGAAAAAAAAACAGUAGCGAAAGAACAAAAUCUUAAAAUUGAAUUGAUGAUUCAAUUUGAUUAAAAUGAUUGAAGAAGAAAAUCAAGUGCGGAAUCAUAAAUUGAAUGAAUCUUCGAGCACAAAGCUCUGAUACCAUGUUGACAAUGGUGAAACCAGAGAAAAGUUUAAGAGGGAAAAUUGAUUCUUCAUUAUUGAAUAGUUACUUACAAAUGAAGCUAAAUUGAAACUAUAUACAAGAGAAACAACUGAUUAACCCUCUAACAAACUUCUAACUAACAUCACGUGAGAAUCACAUGAUUUUAUUAAACAGAAUUAACUAACAAUUAACUAUUAAUUCUAACACAUGACUUCAAGGAAACCGUAGAAAAACUAAAUCUUUCACUUUUUUUUUAUUUAAACAAGUUAUAAUAAAAACUCACUGCAAAGAAGCCUAUUCUACUCUCUACACUUAGAUAUAAGAGCACUAAUCUAAACAUUGAGUUCUAAUAAGAAGAAGACAAUAACUCUAAGAGAAAGAAGUCAGAAGACAAAAGUAAAAAAAUAUCUAAAUAUACAUUAUAAACCCUUACAUACCUUCCAACUACAUAGAAAAUAACCAAAAUAAAAAUAACAAUGCUUAGGGUGGAGGAAGUGCUCUCCUUUCAACCCAUUCAACCCACGGCAACAACUUCUCUCUCUCUCUCUCUCUCUCUCUAUAUAUAUAUAUAUAUAUAUAUGUGUGUGUGUGUGUGUGUGUGUGUUUAUUAAUUAAUUUGUAUGGUUUUUAAUUAUUGAAAAUAGUGAUGUAGCAGUGAGUUGGGAAUUUUCUAAUAUAUGAAUUGAAAAUGAUGAGUUUCUUAUCAAAUCAGGUUGUCUCAAUCUCAAUUUUCGUAUAUCUUUUAAUAAUGCAAGGAAUUUUCUAAAAUACAAAUUAGAUUGUAACUGUUGUUGGACUCAUAAAUACUUGGGCCAAGUGAUUAUUGUUAUUUUCUAAAAUACAAGUUAUGUUUGAAGACCUCUUAUAAAAUUUCUAAAUCCAUGAUGCUCUACAAUUGAAAGUGGAUAUUCGUGUAUGAUAAUUAUUUCCGUCAAAUUUUUUCUUGAUGCAUCAGCAUUAAAUGUAUAGUUUCAAACAUGAGUUGUAGUACCAUCCAUUUUCUUUUUUUCUUGCACCAAGAUAGAUUGACGAAUAUCUGAAAAUGGGUUGUGUAAACAACGUUUAAAAUGGACAAAUAAAUGUUUUGUACCUUUCUUGUUAUCCGCACCCAAUACUUUCUUGCAAUGAAUGCAUCUUGCUUUAACUUCACCAUUCACUUUAAAUCUUUUAAAACGGGGCAAUGCUGGUAAACAUGAUGCCCUUUUUGAACCGACCGCUUCGUCUUCGUCUUCACCGUAAGACCCUUUGAUCCAUUUAUUUCUUCGUGAAAAGUAACGAAGAGGAUUUCCGACUGUCCCUUUCUGUCUAAAACGUUAUAAAAUCAGGUUAGUUUUCCUGAUGAUGUAUACCCAAGAAGUGAAAAUGUAGGAUGGCACACAAUCAUUUUUGUAAAAAUGCUAACAUUUCAUAGUUUUCAGGAAUGGAUUAUUUUUUAUGACUAGAGCAAAACCAGUUUUGUUAAAAUCUAUUCUUAAAAAAAUACAUUAUCUACUUUGUUGUAAAUUGAAAACAACCACUAUUUAUUCCUAACAGAAAUCACAUAAGACAUUUAUGAUUUAUGUAUUUACUAAUUUACUAUAGAAAACUUGAGGGACUUGUUAUAUUUUACGGAAGUUGGAGGGUCUAUCUUGAAAUAUAUUUCUUUCCUAUUUUGACGAGUGACUGACCUGAAAAAUCACAAUCAUGUUUGGCUUCGAGUCUUUUGCUUAACUCACACAACACACAACAAGAAGAAAUCAUCAUCACCGAUUCAUCUGAACAGUGGAAUCAAGCAAUCAGACUCAAUCGCUUAAAGAAAUGGCUCGAGCUGGAGGAAUAACGAAUGCAGUAAACGUAGAGAUAGCGGUACAAGAUGCUUGACAGAAUCGUAAUUCUUGGGUUAUUUCACGAUUUUUGUUACGAAAUCAACACUGCUUUCUAAUCACAGAAACUGUAUAUGUUUAUAUUCAGCUUCUAGGGCUUGAAUACAAUUAGGCUUUUUUCAAUGUGGACAAUUGAAAAGUUGAACUCUGAAAUUGGUUGGAGCCCUAAUUGAAAGGGACUCUCCAAAAAUAGGCGUAUGCCACUUAAUGCAGCGAACACACGGUAUUCUUUAGUAAAAGGCGAAAGAAUAGUUCGCUUUGUGUUCACUGCGUAGCUGCUUGUCAUCUUAGUUACCAGCUGCUUGGUUUAUGUAAUGAGUUUGAUACCUUCUGUUUCAUUCAAGUAGCCGAUGUGGGAUGAGCCCCAUACUUGCAUCCCUCUGUAAUGUUUCAAACUCUUCUCCCACAUUUCUCUUCUUUUUCCCCUUCACUUACUUCCAUUUGGUUUUUGAUCUGUUUUUUAUGAGGUGCUCACUGUUCAUGGAUAUGGGUUUUGAUAGAAAUUACUAGAUAUUAUAACUGGAAUUAGAUAUUUUGUGAAAGAUUAUUUUUAGUAGACCAAAAAAAGAACAUUUUCGUGAAGAAAAACAGCAAUCUUAGGAAGUUAGAAUUUCAUAUUUUGGUAAAUGAAAUGGAUAAAUAGGUAAAAGUUCGUUUUACUUUUGGACAAAGGUAUUGUGAGAAUGGAUAAUGACUUAAACUAAGUCCUUUUAUUCAGCUCACUUAUCAAGGAGUCGAAUGGUUUUGAAUUUAGACUUCACACAUUGUUUUUCUUCAAACAGGUUUUCAGAUUUCAACAUUUCAAAACAAUAUGAUUCAUGACCUUCUUGACUUUCUUUCAAACAACAUGAGUUACUUUAUGAUUGUUACAUAAGAACUAUUGAAAACUUGAACUUUACAUAUUGAUUGGAGCCCUUCAAUAAGAAGGGACUCUCCAAAAAUAGGCGUAUGCCACUAUAUAUGGCAAGAACACGGUAUUCUUUAGUAAAAGGCGAAAGAAUAGUGCGCUUUGUUCUUACCACAUGGCUGCGUGUCUUUUCUUCUCCCAGCUACUUGGUUUAAUUAAUGACUCUCAUGCCUUCUGUUUUAUUUAAGCAGCCUAUGUGGGAUGACCCUCAAACCUGCAUGCCUCUCUUCCAAACCCUUUUUCCACUUUUCUCUUUUUUCCUUCUUCUCUUAUUUUGAUUUGAUUUUUGAUCGGUCUUUUAAGAUAUUUAGUCGAAUAUUAUUUUUAUUUGUCCAAAAGAAGAACAUUUUCUUGAAGAAAAAUGAAGUUGGAGUUUCAAAUUAUAGUAAAUGAAGGGAAUACAAGCCAAUCAGAGUCACAAUAUGCUUUUAAAUGUAAAUCGCCAUUGACAGGAAGAAAAAUACCCUGAGAGUGGCCUUAAGAUAGUGCAACACACGAAGAGCAGCAUUCCAAUGGGUCUCACGUGGAGCAUAAACAAAUUGACUAAGCGUGUUGACAGCAAAUAUGAUGCCAGGACGCGUAACUUGUAGAUAAAGAAGACGUCCAAUCAGUCGUUUAUACUUUCCAACAUCAGGAGAAUCGUCUUCAGUAGUGAGACGAAUGUUAUGUUCCAUAGGAAAAGAGCUUGGUAUACAUCCUUCCAUACUGUUAUUAGCUAAGAUGUCCAAUUUAUAUUUUCUUUGAAUAAGAACUAUUCCAUCAGGUGUUCGAGCAGCUUCAAUUCCAAAAAAAAUAUUUCAAAGGACCCAAAUCCAUUAUACUAAACUUGCUGUUAAGAAAAUCUUUGACUUUGGCUAUCUAUUGAUCGGCAUUUCCCAAAAGAACAACAUCAUCAACAUAAAUAAGAGCUGAAACAUAUAUACCCUUUUGUUUGAAGAUGAAAAGAGAAUGGUAUGCCUUUGAGUGUUUAAAACCGAUUUGGAGGAGAGCACCGAUGAAUUUGUUGUACGAGUUUCAAGAGGCUUGACGUAAACCAUACAAUGACUUUUGGAGACGACAAACUCUGGUAUCUCCUUCUUUGGCAAACCCUUGUGGCACCUUUAUAUACACUUCUUCAUGCAACUCUCCAUGUAAGAAGGCGUUAUUCACAUCAAGUUGAUGAAUAGCCCACCUUUUAUGAACAAUAACAACCAACAUAGUCCUAACUAUCACGAUCUUGGCCACCGGUGCAAAAUUUUAUUGAAAAUCUACACCUUCCAUUUGAGUGAAGCCUUUCGCAAAGAGUUUGUCUUUGUAUUGUUCAAAUUCAUCAGAUGGUUUGUAUCUAAAUUUGUAGACCCAUUUGGAGUCGAUUGCUUUCUUUACCGGUGGUAAAUCUGCCAAAACCCAUGUGGUGUUGUUUUCAAGAGCUUCAACUUCCUUUUUCAUAGCAUCCUUCCAAUGUUGCCUUUUAAUUUCUUGGUAAAAAUUCUUAGGCUCGUCUUGGGAAGAGAUAACGGCCAAAUAUGCUUUGUGUGAAUUAGUAAAAUUUUUAUAAGACACAAAAUAAGAUAAAGGUUAUACCGUCGAGGAAACUAGAUUGUCAUUGGAGUGUGAAUGGUUUAUAAAAGGUGGCAGAUCAACUUUAAAUUAUUGUAAACGAACAAGCUAAGUGUGAGUUCGUGUUGGGCGUUGGUUUGGAACCGAACUAUGAACUGGAUCGGCAUUGGACUCGCCCGGGCCAUUUUUGGCCUAUAGGAAAUAGCAGUAGGACUUGAGUCGUAUUGUGGGUCAACAGAAGACCUCGGUGGACUGCCGGAGGCUGGGGGAUCGAUGUCAGCAACAUGGUUUAAGCUUUCAAGAUCUUCUAUGUUCCGAUCCUCAUGAGAAUAGUCAAGAUGACUUGAAAUAAUUUCGUCCUUUUCUUGAAAACCAUUUUUUUCAUGGUUUUGGAAAGGAAAACACAUUCUGUAAAAUUCACAUCUCUAGAGAUGAGAAUUUCACAUCUUCAAUGUCGAAAACUUUAUACCCUUUUUGCCCUUGUGGAUAACCGACGAAAACACAAGGCCUCCCCCUUUAUUCGAACUUAUCCUUUCAUGCUUUAUUUUCCUUUACAUAAGCUAAGGAGCCUAAAACUCUCAUGUGAUCGUAUUGAGGCCUAUUUGUAUGGGGUUUUAUUCUUCACAUACCAAGAGGGUAGUCGAUUUAUGAUGUAUGUAGCGGUAAGUAUACAUUCUCCCCAAAACUUGAUGGGAAUAUUAGCUUGGAAACGAAUAGUCCUAGCUAUUUCUAAUAGGUGCCUAUGCUUUCUCUCAACGACCCCGUUUUGUUGUGAGGUGUGAACGUAAGAGGUUUCGAGCAUAAUGCCAUGCUCUUCAUAGAACCUGAGCAUAUUAUUUUGAGACAAAUUCACCCCUGUUAUCACUUAUAUUCCUUUUGGUUUUCCUUUCAAAUUGAGUCUCCAAUAGUUUAUAUAAUGCAACAAGAUUGGAGCUUGCAUCAAAUUUAUGUUUUAACAAAUAGACCUAGGUAGAACGACUGUAAUCAUCCACAAUAGUUAGGAAGUAUCGUGCACUAGAAAGAGAAGGAACACGAUACCCUUCCCAUAUAUCACAAUGAAUAAGAUCAAAAGGAGAAGCUGUUUUAAUAGAACUGAUUGGAAAGGGUAAUCUGGCUUGUUUUGCUCGAAUACACGAAUCACAAUAAUCAAAACUUCCAAUUUUAUUUUAUAAAACUAAUGUGUUGUAAUCUAGAAGUUGAAGAAUGUCCCAACCUCCGAUGCCAAAUUUCUAUGUCAACUUUAACAACCAUCGCCUUGAUCUUUGCAUCUAUAUCUUCCAUGUUGUAUAGAACAUUCUUACACCUUCCCAUGCCAAUCAGCUUCCUCGAAUGUAAGUCUUGUAUGUAACAAAAAUUCGGGAGAAAUGUUACAAAACAAUUAUGAUUUUUGGUGACUUUACUAACCGAUAGAAGAUUGCAUUUAAAAUUUGGUAUAUAAAGGACAUCAUUGAUUUUUAAAUUGCUAGGUAAACAAGCACUCUCUAUUCCUUCAUCAGGAACGUUGUCACCAUUCAAUAUGUUAACAGGAACGCCAUCCUACGAUUCCUUCAAGUCGGUUAAGACGAAGUUGUUACUAGCAAUAUGUUUGGUAGCACCGGAGUCGAUUACCCAUGGUUGAAGAAAAUUGAUCUUACCAACCAUAUUGAUUUCAAGUUUGAGAUUGUUGCUUGAUUGAUGAAUUAGUUUCUUGUAUUGCUCGACACUUAGCCCAAGUAUGGGGUUGACUUCUAUUCCAACUGCAACAUCUUUGGGUCUUCCAUUUACAGUCUUCUUUUGUUCACCGGUUGGUUUUCGCUGUCGGUUUUCCCACCAGUCGGGAUAUUGAUUUUCUGGAAGUAGCCAUCGAUUGUGUAACCCAGUCCUGUUGAAAAUACCCGAUUACCGACCCAACCCGUUUGAAUCCGGGUAAAUCGGGUCGAGUAUCGAGUAUAUAUUUUCGGAGGGUUACCCAAUUUUUUUAGACCGGAUAUAGGGUACAUGUAUAGGGUUUCGGGUAUACCCGAAAUACCCUAUUUAUUAAAAAAUAAAGUGACAUUUGGGUAAUAUCAACACUUAUCCACAUGAUGUUUACAACUUUACCCUCGUUCUCAAUCAUUGAUUUAAAAAAAACCUUGUCUAUUUCUUGAGUCUUCCAUCGAAGUAUCGAACCCUAUGAAGACAAAGAGAUAUCUCCAGUAGACUUCAAACUUAACUCAACUCGUCGUCACCGGUCAUCAAUUCGUCGCCAACACUCACCGAUUUAGACUUCAAACUUCAAAGAAAGUGAUUUUCUUGUAAAUGAUUUCGAAAAUAAGGUAUUGGCUUCUUGCAUUUUGGUUUCUUGUAAAUGGUAUUAUUUUUGUGAAGAUUAUUUGAUAUCUCAAAUAUUAUUGACUAAAUGGCUUCUUGUAAAUAUUUAAAAAAAUAAGACUAAUAGAACACGACAUAUUUACUUCAUUAGAUUUUUUGUGGGUAAUACCCGAAUUCCAAACCCGACCUACUACCCGAAUUACCCAAACCAAAAAUACCCGAAUUUAAUUCGGGUCGAGUAAUGGACAUUUUUUUAACAUGAAAACCCCGAAUUACCCGAAACCCGAAAAAUUUACCCAAUCAACACCCCUAGUGGGACCGGUUUAAUUGUAAAGCUUGCACUUCAGUCCUUCACAGUUGAUGCGUUUAUCAGAAUGGAUCGUCUCAAUACUUUGUGUUGUUUCAGCUUGAUAGGCUGCAACCUCCACUGUUGGCUUCCUUGUCGCACUAAUAUUCUUUUGUUGCUCUUCUUCAGCAACAAGACGAUACACGAUGCUCGGACUUGGCAUGGGUUUGGUGCUGAGUAUUUGAGUUUUUAUGGUUCCAAAAUUAUCAUCGAGACCCAUCAAAAACUCUUAUAUAUGUUCUUUUUCUUUAGACUCCAUGAGUCUUUUUCCCAGAUUACAGGAACAGUUGCUGCAUGUGCAUGUUGGCGAAGGUGAGACAAAUUCAAUUUCAUCCCACACACCUCUCAUCAUGGUAAAGUAGGAUGAAACUGAAUGAUUUCCUCUAUGCCCUCGGGGCACUUUCCUUUCCAAAUCUUUCUUGAAGGUCUUCCCAUAUUUGUCUGACUAUGGUGGCGUAUUUUACACUGUUCUUGAUCUCCUUUUCCAUGGCAGUGGUAAUCCAUCAUUUGAUGAUGGCGUCGCUCCUCUGCCAUGAUUUGUAUUCUUGCUCAUCUUCUGCUGGUUUGGGAAUGGUUCCAUCAAUGAAACCUACUUUGUUAUUGGCGAUAAGAAAGUCGCUCAUCUCUUGAGUCCAAUCCGCAUAAUUAUUAUCAUUCAUAUUGUCAUUCACGUGCAUUUGACGAAGAUAAUCAGUUAGGUGAAUGUAAUAGGGUUUAGAUUGGAUAAAUUUGACUCCAGGUUCUUGAAUUAUGCAAACGAUCCAAAGAUCAUAUAUACACAUCAAUUUGAAUAAAGGAAGCUAGAUAUCCUACUAGGAAACUAGGAAAUUGAAUAUAUAUAUAUAUAUAUAUAUAUAUAUAUANUAUAUAAUAUUUCCUUCACCUUUAAAACAUUUAUGGAUAGCGGAGACAAAUUUAUAAAUGACUAUUGACUUAAAUGAGCAGCAAAGUUAAAAUGUUUCACGCAAAACAUUGACAUUAUUCAGCAACGAGCACUCAUAAUCAUAUUUAAUAUAUUAGUUAAUAACCGUUAAAAAAGUUUUAUUAAUAAACCAUUAAAUUCAAAGUGACAAAAAUCAUCCAUAUGUCAUGUCAACAUGACCCAACUUGUUAUCCAACCUGUCCCAUUUUGGCAUCAAUAGUUGUAGACUAUAGACACUCGAGUUUAUAAUGGACGACUUCUAAAUGCCCAUUUCCGAUUUAGCUAAAAAAACUAAUUUUACCCGUUUUACCGACUAUCAAUAAAAUGUAUUGUGUAUACAUGUACUUUGUUUGCAAUAUGUAUUUGGUUUUGCUGUUAAUUAUGACGGAAAUUGGAUAAAGAUUUGUGGAGUAAUCAACACUCAUGAUGUAGCUUCUUGACAUCUGUAACAUUUGCAUCUUUUUUUUUCACACAUAUUAGCAUAGUAUCCUCACUCUCCAUAUUUGUAGCAGCAGGUAACUACUUCUAAAGAUUUUCCUUUUGAGUAAUCAUUCUUAUCUUUCUCUUCCAUUCUUCAUUUUGUUGUGUUUGCUUUCUUGUCUCACAUUGUUUUCAUUCGCUUUCAAUUGCAUAUUGGUGUAAUCUCCUUUACAUGGUGACUUAUUUUUCUUUGGAUAAAACAAGACAAUAUCUUUAGAAAGUAACCUUUCAUUAAACUCUUUAGAAAAGGUCAAAGACUUUCAUUAAAAGUAACCUUUCUGACUUUUAUCUCAAACAACAUGAGUUCCUCCUUUGUACUUCUAUCUUGAUUAUCACUGCAUUUGUAUUUUUGACAACAAUUUUACAAGCUUUAGGUUUAGCACCAGAUUACAUUAGACCUGAUCAGUGAAAGUUAACAAACAAGAACUAGUGAAAAUUUAAACUUCAAAAAUUGGUUGGAGCCCUCCAAAUAAAUGAAAGGACUCUCCAAAAAUAGGGUAUGCCACUAUAUAUGGAGAACACACGGUAUUCUUUAGUAAAAGGCGAAAGAAUAGUUCGCUUUGUGCUCACCACAUGGCUGCGUGUCACUUCAUGUCUCAGCUGCUUGGUAUAAGUAUUGAAUUUGAUAGCUUCUGUUUCGUUUAAGUAGCCUAUGUGGGAUGAACCAGAAACUUCCAUUCCUCUUUUUAAAACCCUUCUUCCACUUUUCUUUUCUUUCCCCCUUAUCUUUACUUGGUUUUUGAUUUGUCUUUAAUAUAGGAAGCGCUCUUAUAUAGGUUUUUGAAAGGAAUUAUUAUUAGAAUAAGAUAUCCAGUGAAAUUUUAAUUUUAGUUGACCAGAAAAAGAAUAUUUUGGUGAAGAAAAACAAAGUUGGAGUUGUAAAUGAAGAGGAUAAAUUGGUAAGUACGUGUUACUUUUGGACAAAGGUUUGGUGAAAUGGAUAAUGAUAUGCCAUUAAAACAAUUUAUUCAUAUCACUUGUCAAAGAUUCUAAAUAGUUUUGAAUUUAGACUUCAGACUUCACAGUUCACACAUUGGCUUUUACUGUUAAACAUGUUUCAUAGUUCCACAUUCAGCACUAACGCCUUGUUCAUGAGUUUUUAGUAAAUUUAGUAAAAGAAAGAGAAAGAAAAUAUUGACCGGAAAGGGAGGGGAAGGAGAAAUUUUCUUAUUCCGUGUUCCCGAGUUCGAAGAAAAUAAAAGGAAAAUUGUAAGUUUUUGUGUUUUCUUCCAGAAUCCGCGCAAUUUGGGAGGAAAUUUUAGAAUUAAAACAUGGCUCUAAAAUCCUUUCCUUCCCCUUACUUUCCUUAAAUCAAUUAAAUUCAGGGUACACGAUUUUCCUUCGACAUUACUCACAUUCCCUCCAUAUACAUCCAUAUCUCUCUUUAAGUAGAAUUCGGGAACAAGGCGUAAGGCUUAGUGAGUGUACCUUCUCACCACUUCGCACUUUUUGCCUGACAUCGUAAUCAUGUCAUUUCCCCCUUCACCUCUCUUAUCGAUAGGAAACGGCCACCUCUCAUGUUUUUCUUUUUUUAUUAAAUAUAUAAAAUUAUAAUUUAAUAAGUUUCUAAAUAUUUAAAAUAAUAAAAGAGGAAUAUUUCAUUAAGUUAAUAAUAAAAAUCAUUACGUAGUAAAAAAUGACAAUCAAAUAAAAACAAUAUGGAAUACUUCUAAUUGAAAUAAAAUUUUAUAAUUUCCUCUCUUGUCCUCCGAACUAUCACGAGGUCGUCUCCCGAAAAUGGUCAAUGUUUUUUGUUAGAAAUUUCAUAUUGCAACAUUUUUUGUUGUUCUUUUCCCGAACAAAUUCCAUUUCCGGCUAGGGGUUGGCUACUCGGCUUACCAAAAUGUAUUCAGGGAGAGAAGAAAAAUUGUAGAAUAAGAUUAGGCUAGCAGGCGGCAUAGAGUAUUAUUGUGGUAUUUGUUAAUAGUGAAGUUGUUUGGGUUUAAAACAUAGGGGUGUCAAGUUGUGGUUGAUAAACUGACAGAUCAAAAACGAAAACAUUUUGACUCGGGUUGUUGAACCACUUGCACGCGGCUUGUUUCGCCUGAAUCUUGGGGUGAAAUCGGUGGAAAGAUUGUUUGAAUUCAUUUUUGGUAGCAGAAACUAAGUGUAGUGUUUGUGUGAAAUGAGUAGUAGGAAGUGUAUUAUUUGAGUGACAAAGUAUUAGAUAGUGUGAAAUAAAAAAAAAUCCAAAAGUAGCCGUUGGGGAGGAAAGGAAGAAGGUGCGCCGAAAUCAUUAUUUUGGGACCUCGCUUUAUCGUGGUGUGUGGUGCCGGUAUUCCUACCAGCCUUAAGGCUACCAGGAGUGGAGGUCCCUCCACACGUGAAAUGCUUAUGUGGAGGGUCUCUCCACGCGUGAACACCGCCCCUGGAUUUAGUGGGUUGGUGGUGGCGUGGCUCCCGGGACGGACGAAGACGCGGACAUUCAUUGGUCAUUUAAUUUUGAUCGUUAGGGUAAUUAAAUAAAAAAAAAAAACUUUUUUCCUUUAAUUUCCUUUCUCUAUCUGUAUAUACAUCCACUUAUACACAAUUUUUUUAAAACAAUCAUACAAAUUCUCUCAAAUUAAACAUACAAAUUCAACAAAAAAAAAAUGGAUAGCGGUUCUGAUGACGAUUUGGUUUUGCACACACUAUUGUCUGCGGCACAAGACAUGAUUCGUCAGAGAGGCGAAACUUCACACCGCGAGAAGAAACAUAGAAAAUAUAUCAAUCGGGAUCGAGAGACGGCACAUGAACUUUUGGUACGUGAUUAUUUUGCCUCUGAUAGUCUUUAUGACCUUUCGAAAUUUGAAGACCGUUUUCGUAUUAGUAGAAAUUUAUUUUUACGUAUAGCUUCAGAUUUGGAACGUAAUUAUGAGUUUUUCCAAUUACGAUGAGAUGCUAGAGGUAAAUGUGGUUUUACCACAAUACAAAAAUAUACGGCCGCUCUUAGACAAUUGAGAUAUGGUAUAACUGCAGACGCAUCAGAUGCGUAUCUGAAAAUGUCUGAGAGGAUGGGUCGAGAUUGUACAUAUUUUUUCUGUGAGUAUGUUAUAGAGCUUUACCGUGACAUAUACCUGCGACAUCCGACUAAAAGUGAUGUCGAACAGUUGUAUGCCGCGCAUGAAGCUAAACAUGGUUUUCCAGGGAUGCUUGGUAGUAUUGAUUGUACACAUUGGGAGUGGGCAAAUUGUCCCAAUGCGUGGCGUGGUCAAUUCACACGAGGAGAUCAUGGGGUCCCAACUGUUAUACUGGAGGCAGUUGUUUCAAACGACCUAUGGUUUGGCAUGCAUUCUUUGGUAUGGCGGGGUCAAACAAUGACUUGAAUGUACUUCACACGUCUCCAUUAUUUAACAAUAUUUUGCAGGGUAAAGCACCAGAUAUGUCAUACGUUGUGAAUGGAAAUGAAUACAAGUAUGGAUAUUACCUAGGUGAUGGGAUAUAUCCAGAGUAUGCUACAUUUGUUAAGUCUUUUUCGUUUCCAGUCGAUGAGAAACGAAAAUUGUUCAAGUUAACAUAGGAAUCUGCACGGAAGGAUGUUGAAAGAGCGUUUGGAGUCCUAAAACAAAGGUGACACAUAAUCAAGCAUCCAACACGAACAUGAGAUAGGGCAAAACUAACGACGGUGUUGACUGCCAUGUGUAAUUUUACAUAACAUGAUAAUAGAAUAAGAGAACAGAGCUAUUUGUUUAUAUACCGAGAACGAUGUACUUAAUCCACCUGCAGUAAUACAAGUUGGCAGCCCGGCAUACUUCUCUAGGGUUUUGGAAAUACAAUAUCGUGAAACACGUCACAAUCUACGACACGAUUUGACCGAGCACAUAUGGGGGAGACAACUCCAAGGAGGAAAUCGCGAUGGAGACGAAGAGGAUGAGGGCGACGAGUACGAUGAGAAUGCAGACAGUGACGACGAGGCGGAUGAGGAUGAUGACGACGAGUGGUAUUUUUCUACGGUUUUUAUGUUUUACUUUUUUUUUUUUUUUUUAAAUUAAGUAGUGUAGUAUUUGAUUUAUUAGGUUUUAUGUGUGUUUUAGUAAUUUUAGGUUUUAAAUUUCUAUGUUUUUAAUUAAUGAAAUGGUUUUUUUUUUUUUUUUUUUUUUUUUUUUUUUUUUCAAAAAAAUUAUUUAUCUUAUAAAUUAUGUUUUUUAUUUCAUAUAGUGUUACAAAAAAAUAAAAAAAGUUACCUAUUUUAUAAAUUAUGUUAUUUAUUAAACAUAAUGUUAAAAAAAUAAAAAAUAAUAAAAAAGUGUAUGUUGUUAGUGGUGACCAUUUCAUAUGUGGAGUGGGUUGGUGGUGAAGGUCACGUGGCACAGAUGUGACACCACUUUUCCGGUGAGUUGGUGGUGACCACUCCAUAUAGCCUAAAAAAACAGAUGAUCUGUUAACCUUUUUUACUUUAUCUCAAACAACAUUAGCUCCUUUCUUGUAUUAUGAAGUCAAAAUAUGGCAGGACAGUUAAUAUUAUAAAGAUAAAUAAAUUAACAAAAUCCAGUUGGUUUCUUCUGUGAUGCAGUUUCCGAUCACAAGCUCAAUAAGUCAAUCAUGCAGGUUUCUGUUAAAAUUUAUCACUGCAUUUCUUGUAUCAAUUGGCAUAUAGUUGAUUUUUGAACUUUAAAAAUUGGUUGGAGCCCUUCAAUUAAAGAAAGGUCUCUCCAAAAAUAGGCGUAUACCACUGUGUAUGGCAAGCACACGGUAUUCUUUAGUAAAAGGCGAAAGAAUAGUUCGCUUUGUGCUUACCACA
rnacentral:lncRNA from 1 species